AGUGAACGCUGGCGGUAGGCCUAACACAUGCAAGUCGAACGGCAGCACAGUAAGAGCUUGCUCUUACGGGUGGCGAGUGGCGGACGGGUGAGGAAUACAUCGGAAUCUACUUUUUCGUGGGGGAUAACGUAUGGAAACUUACGCUAAUACCGCAUACGACCUACGGGUGAAAGCAGGGGAUCUUCGGACCUUGCGCGAUUGAAUGAGCCGAUGUCGGAUUAGCUAGUUGGCGGGGUAAAGGCCCACCAAGGCGACGAUCCGUAGCUGGUCUGAGAGGAUGAUCAGCCACACUGGAACUGAGACACGGUCCAGACUCCUACGGGAGGCAGCAGUGGGGAAUAUUGGACAAUGGGCGCAAGCCUGAUCCAGCCAUACCGCGUGGGUGAAGAAGGCCUUCGGGUUGUAAAGCCCUUUUGUCGGGAAAGAAAAGCAGCAGGUUAAUACCCCGCUGUUCUGACGGUACCCAAAGAAUAAGCACCGGCUAACUUCGUG
rnacentral:rRNA from 1 species